rnacentral:rRNA from 2 species
UGAACUUAAGCAUAUCAAUAAGCGGAGGAAAAGAAAAUAACAAUGAUUUCCCUAGUAACGGCGAGUGAAGAGGAAAGAGCUCAAAGUUGGAACCUGUUUGGCCUAGCUAAACCGGAUUGUAGACUGUAGAAGUGUUUUCCAGGCAAGCCGAGUAAAUAAGUCCUUUGGAACAGGGCAUCAUAGAGGGUGAGAAUCCCGUCUUUGGCUUGAGCAUUUGCCUUUUGUGAUACGCUUUCAAAGAGUCAGGUUGUUUGGGAAUGCAGCCUAAAUUGGGUGGUAAAUCUCACCUAAAGCUAAAUAUUGGCGAGAAACCGAUAGCGAACAAGUACCGUGAGGGAAAGAUGAAAAGAACUUUGAAAAGAGAGUUAAACAGUAUGUGAAAUUGUUAAAAGGGAACCGUUUGGAGCCAGACUGGCUUGUCUGUAAUCAAUCUAGGCUUCGGCCUGGAUGCACUUGCAGGCUAUGCCUGCCAACGACAAUUUGACUUGAGGGAAAAAACUAGGGGAAAUGUGGCCCACUUGUGGGUGUUAUAGUCCCUUAGAAAAUACCUUGGGUUGGAUUGAGGAACGCAGCGAAUGCUUAUUGGCGAGUUUUCCAGGAAGGUUUUCUGAGGUACUACGGUAU